AUGCAAACAGCUCCCUGUCUUCCAAGCCUUCGUAUUUACCCCUUCUUGCAAACCUCUGCUGGAUGCUGCCUGUCCCUUCAAGCAGUAAGGGGCACUGCCACCUUAUAUGAAACGGGUGGCAUGAUAAUAUUGUUUGAUGCCAUAUUUUCUGUCCUGGCGUGUGCACACUUGCCCAUGUUGCUGCACUCCUGGAGCUGUGCGCUGAAUGAUGAUGAAGUGCCACUGACAGCGUCGCCUGGCAGCCCGAUGCAGGUUGAUGUGAGAUGUGUGCUCGCCUCCUCUGCUGGCUGCCCUUCUCUGAUGUCUCAGAAGGUCUUUGCUGUGAUGGCAGUGACUUCAGCCUCCAUUUUGAUGACCACAAUCUCAGAGCAUGUGUCCGCUGUGCAUUUCAGUUCACUGGCAGUGAGGAUGGAGCUGAGAUGCCAGAAGCAUUGGUAAGAAGCUCGCCUUACCUCAGUCUUCUCCUCGGUAUCUUGCUUUUGAAAUUCUGGGUUCAGGCUCAGGAAGAAAAUUAACACUUUAAUAGCUAGUGAAGACAUUCACUAUGGACAGACAUGGAAGAACUUAAUUCAAUUAGAGCAAAACAUUAGGCCUUUCAGACAGCUCUGUUCACCCCGGUCUGCUGUCGGAUCAUGGAGACAGCUUCCAUAAGCCACGGUGCACAUUGGUGGGACAUGUGCUUGGAGGGGGUGGCCUGAAGCCCUACUGCAGACAGUGUGUGUGAAAUAUAGAUAAAAUGGGGCACCACGUGGAAAAAGUAAAGCUUACCAGGCUCCUUCAUUAAUGUGUCCCAGUAAGGGUGAGCAUGACGAUCCUAGACUGACAUGGGGAGCUGUUUCUGUGACCUCUCUUCUAAAGUCCUUCAGUCAUCCACAGUGUAGAUCAGCUGGAACAUCAUUUGGGAACAAAGAACAACAUUUCAGAGCAGAAGAUCCUGAACUAAAGUCAUUGACUAAGUCAUUGUAGGACCAUGGUUGUACCUUUGUUUUUUUCCAUGUAGAUCAAUGGAAGAUGAUGAAACACUUCUGGUAGCGGUAUGCAUAGCCCAGGGAGAGAAGCAACAGGCUACAGGACAUAUGGGAUGAGAAGACUGGGUUCUUGGGGAAUUACACACCCAUCUGUGCCAUCAUUAAUGAGCAGGCAUUGUCUUAACUGGUUUGGGAGAGGAAGAAGGUGUAUACAUUGGUGCAGCAGUUAGCGUGGGAACCUGCUGAUGUCCGUCAAGAGGAAAAAGUCCUUGUCCGAGCUAGAAAAUCCAUGCAUGUUUCAAUAACAUCAGAAUCUAAGACGUGCUCAUCACAAUAAAUAUUUAAGUGAAUAAAAGAAUUGUUGUUAG
rnacentral:lncRNA from 1 species